AGUUCUGUAGUAUAAAUAAAGUACGGUUGAUUUCCAAUCAACAGGAUUAAGAAUUA
rnacentral:tRNA from 1 species